rnacentral:rRNA from 1 species
UACGUAGGGGGCAAGCGUUGUCCGGAUUUAUUGGGCGUAAAGAGCGUGUAGGCGGUCAGGUAGGUCCGUUGUGAAAACUCGAGGCUCAACCUCGAGACGCCGAUGGAAACCAUCUGACUAGAGUCCGGAAGAGGAGAGUGGAAUCCUGGUGUAGCGGUGAAAUGCGCAGAUAUCAGGAAGAACACCCGUGGCUAAGGCGGCUCUCUAGUACGGUACUGACGCUGAGACGCGAAAGCGUGGGAGCAACAG